rnacentral:rRNA from 1 species
GAGUUUGAUCAUGGCUCAGGAUGAACGCUGGCGGCGUGCCUAAUACAUGCAAGUAGAACGCUGAAGCUUGGUGCUUGCACCGAGCGGAUGAGUUGCGAACGGGUGAGUAACGCGUAGGUAACCUGCCUGGUAGCGGGGGAUAACUAUUGGAAACGAUAGCUAAUACCGCAUAACAGUAGAUAUUGCAUGAUAUCUGCUUGAAAGGUGCAAUUGCAUCACUACCAGAUGGACCUGCGUUGUAUUAGCUAGUUGGUGAGGUAACGGCUCACCAAGGCGACGAUACAUAGCCGACCCUGAGAGGGUGAUCGGCCACACUGGGACUGAGACACGGCCCAGACUCCUACGGGAGGCAGCAGUAGGGAAUCUUCGGCAAUGGGGGAACCCGUGACCGAGCAACGCCGCGUGAGUGAAGAAGGUUUUCGGAUCGUAAAGCUCUGUUGUAAGAGAGAACGAGUGUGAGAGUGG